rnacentral:rRNA from 1 species
GAGGAAUAUUGGUCAAUGGGCGAGAGCCUGAACCAGCCAAGUAGCGUGCAGGAUGACGGCCCUCCGGGUUGUAAACUGCUUUUAGUUGGGAAUAAAAAAAGGGACUUGUCCCUUCUUGUAUGUACCUUCAGAAAAAGGACCGGCUAAUUCCGUGCCAGCAGCCGCGGUAAUACGGAAGGUCCAGGCGUUAUCCGGAUUUAUUGGGUUUAAAGGGAGCGUAGGCGGAUUGUUAAGUCAGCGGUUAAAGGGUGUGGCUCAACCAUACAUUGCCGUUGAAACUGGCGAUCUUGAGUGCAGACAGGGAUGCCGGAAUUCGUGGUGUAGCGGUGAAAUGCUUAGAUAUCACGAAGAACUCCGAUCGCGAAGGCAGGUGUCCGGGCUGCAACUGACGCUGAGGCUCGAAAGUGUGGGUAUCAAACAGGAUUAGAUACCCUGGUAGUCCACACAGUAAACGAUGUAUACUCGCGGUUUGCGAUAGACAGUAAGCCGCCAAGCGAAAGCAUUAAGUAUACCACCUGGGGAGUACGCCGGCAACGGUG